GACCGGUGGAGCGCUUAGAAGUGAGAAUGCCGGUAUGAGUAGCGAAAGACAGGUAAGAAUCCUGUCCACCGAAUGACUAAGGUUUCCUGGGGAAGGCUCGUCCUCCCAGGGUUAGUCGGGACCUAAGCUGAGGCCGAGAGGCGUAGGCGAUGGACAACGGGUUGAUAUUUCCGUACCGGUCUGAUUUGUUUGAGCAAUGGAGGGACGCAGGAGGCUAACGAUGCGCACUAUCGGAUGUGCGUCCAAGCAGCAAGUCUGUCGGCGAGUCAAAUGCUUGCCGGCUCAAGGACAAGCUGUGACGGGUAUGAACGAUUUAUCGUUCUAAGUGAGUGACGUCACACUGCCAAGAAAAGCUUCUAGUUAGAAUCAGACCGCCCGUACCGCAAACCGACACAGGUAGUCGGGUCGAGAAGACCAAGGUGAGCGAGAGAACUCUCGUUAAGGAACUCGGCAAAAUGACCCCGUAACUUCGGGAGAAGGGGUGCUGAUCGCAAGAUCAGCCGCAGUGAAUAGGCCCAGGCGACUGUUUAUCAAAAACACAGGUUUCUGCAAAAUCGUAAGAUGAAGUAUAGGGGCUGACGCCUGCCCGGUGCUGGAAGGUUAAGAGGAUGGGUUAGCGCAAGCGAAGCUCAGAAUUGAAGCCCCAGUAAACGGCGGCCGUAACUAUAACGGUCCUAAGGUAGCGAAAUUCCUUGUCGGGUAAGUUCCGACCCGCACGAAAGGCGUAACGAUCUGGGCACUGUCUCAACGAGAGACUCGGUGAAAUUAUAAUACCCGUGAAGAUGCGGGUUACCCGCGACAGGACGGAAAGACCCCAUGGAGCUUUACUGUAGCUUGAUAUUGGGUGUUUGUACAACUUGUACAGGAUAGGUAGGAGCCGUAGAAGUCGGGACGCUAGUUUCGACGGAGGCAUCGGUGGGAUACUACCCUCGUUGUAUGAACACUCUAACCCACGCCGGCAAUCACGGCGGGAGACAGUGUCAGGUGGGCAGUUUGACUGGGGCGGUCGCCUCCUAAAAGGUAACGGAGGCGCCCAAAGGUUCCCUCGGAAUGGUUGGAAAUCAUUCGCAGAGUGUAAAGGCAUAAGGGAGCUUGACUGCGAGACCUACAAGUCGAGCAGGGACGAAAGUCGGGCUUAGUGAUCCGGUGGUUCCGCAUGGAAGGGCCAUCGCUCAACGGAUAAAAGCUACCCUGGGGAUAACAGGCUUAUCUCCCCCAAGAGUCCACAUCGACGGGGAGGUUUGGCACCUCGAUGUCGGCUCAUCGCAUCCUGGGGCUGUAGUCGGUCCCAAGGGUUGGGCUGUUCGCCCAUUAAAGCGGUACGCGAGCUGGGUUCAGAACGUCGUGAGACAGUUCGGUCCCUAUCCGUCGCGGGCGCAGGAAAUUUGAGAGGAUCUGUCCUUAGUACGAGAGGACCGGGAUGGACAUACCGCUGGUGUACCAGUUGUUCUGCCAAGGGCAUCGCUGGGUAGCUAUGUAUGGAUGAGAUAAACGCUGAAAGCAUCUAAGUGCGAAACUCACCUCGAGAUGAGAUUUCCCACUCCUUUAUGGAGUUAAGACCCCUGAGAGAUGAUCAGGUAGAUAGGAUGGAAGUGGAAGUGCGGCGACGCAUGGAGCGGACCAUUACUAAUCGGUCGAGGACUUAACC
rnacentral:rRNA from 1 species